GACGAACGCUGGCGGCGUGCUUAACACAUGCAAGUCGAGCGGUAAGGCCCUUUCGGGGGUACACGAGCGGCGAACGGGUGAGUAACACGNGGGUGACCUGCCCUCAGCUCUGGGAUAAGCCUGGGAAACCGGGUCUAAUACUGGAUAUGACUCCAUGACGCAUGUUGUGGGGUGGAAAGCCUUGUGCGGCUGAGGAUGGGCCCGCGGCCUAUCAGCUUGUUGGUGGGGUGANGGCCCACCAAGGCGACGACGGGUAGCCGGCCUGAGAGGGCGACCGGCCACACUGGGACUGAGACACGGCCCAGACUCCUACGGGAGGCAGCAGUGGGGAAUCUUGCGCAAUGGGCGAAAGCCUGACGCAGCGACGCCGCGUGAGGGAUGACGGCCUC
rnacentral:rRNA from 1 species